rnacentral:rRNA from 1 species
AUGCACGCUGGCGGCGUGCCUCAUACCUGCAAGUCGAGCGAACAGACGAGGAGCUUGCUCCUCUGACGUUAGCGGCGGACGGGUGAGUAACACGUGGAUAACCUACCUAUAAGACUGGGAUAACUUCGGGAAACCGGAGCUAAUACCGGAUAAUAUAUUGAACCGCAUGGUUCAAUAGUGAAAGACGGUUUUGCUGUCACUUAUAGAUGGAUCCGCGCCGCAUUAGCUAGUUGGUAAGGUAACGGCUUACCAAGGCAACGAUGCGUAGCCGACCUGAGAGGGUGAUCGGCCACACUGGAACUGAGACGCGGUCCAGACUCCUACGGGAGGCAGCAGUAGGGAAUCUUCCGCAAUGGGCGAAAGCCUGACGGAGCAACGCCGCGUGAGUGAUGAAGGUCUUCGGAUCGUAAAACUCUGUUAUUAGGGAAGAACAAAUGUGUAAGUAACUAUGCACGUCUUGACGGUACCUAAUCAGAAAGCCACGGCUAACUACGUG